AACCCGUAACGUUAUAUUUCGG
rnacentral:miRNA from 1 species